rnacentral:rRNA from 1 species
UAGGGAAUCUUCCGCAAUGGACGAAAGUCUGACGGAGCAACGCCGCGUGAACGAUGAAGGCCUUCGGGUCGUAAAGUUCUGUUGUUAGGGAAGAACAAGUACCGGAGUAAUUGCCGGUACCUUGACGGUACCUAACCAGAAAGCCACGGCUAACUACGUGCCAGCAGCCGCGGUAAUACGUAGGUGGCAAGCGUUGUCCGGAAUUAUUGGGCGUAAAGCGCGCGCAGGCGGUUCCUUAAGUCUGAUGUGAAAGCCCCCGGCUCAACCGGGGAGGGUCAUUGGAAACUGGGGAACUUGAGUACUGAAGAGGAAAGCGGAAUUCCACGUGUAGCGGUGAAAUGCGUAGAGAUGUGGAGGAACACCAGUGGCGAAGGCGGCUUUCUGGUCAGUAACUGACGCUGAGGCGCGAAAGCGUGGGGAGCAAACAGGAUUAGAUACCCUGGUAGUCCACGCCGUAAACGAUGAGUGCUAAGUGUUAGAGGGUUUCCGCCCUUUAGUGCUGCAGCAAACGCAUUAAGCAC